GUGGAAGGGAGGACUGUACAGGUGGCCAAACUGGGAUGAAUGUGGUACCUUCAAGCAUUUGGAAAUUGCUCCCAAGCAUGAACCAGACUUGUGGAGGUCUACAAAAGAAAAUUCUGAGGUCUACAAAUUGUCCCAUGAUGUCAAGCGAAGAGGCACUGAGUUUGAAGACUAAUCCUGCUGCUAAUGAAGAUGACCUUGACACCAGCUUAAGUAGUACAGAGCCUGUAGACCCAUUGGAUGAAAGAAUUCAGCCGGGAACAAGCUCAAGCGCAACAACAUCUGACUCGGAAACAAGCCAGGACAGCCAAAGGAGACUGCAGUGGGUGGUGAAGAAAGUGAUGAAGCCCCGAACCCAACACUUCAGGGGGAUUCAGGGGGAUAGACAGGGCACAGUAGCUUCAGUCAACCUGUAAAUUAGUACCACCCCUAGUACCAGCCUGCGUUCAAUGGUGGGAUCAAAGAAGAGGGGCUCCCGUCAGGCUGUAGUCCUAACAAAGCCAGGGAAAUGAGUCAACCUAGAUAUCCUGCAAUGUCCUGGCAGAUAGGAACAUCAUUGAGAUUAGUCCAAUGGCUCUAUUGAUCAAGGACAACAAUAUCUACUAGCUGCUAGCGUGAUUGUGCAAUCGACAAAACACAAAGGCCACAAUAAUUGCUACAAAACAUGACUCCAUUCAUUUUUGACCAGACAGCACGCUCAAUCAAUAAAAAAAUAUAUAAUAGACAUCGAUGACAGGCGCAUGGGCCUACAGAGCUCGU